UACGUAGGUGGCAAGCGUUGUCCGGAAUUAUUGGGCGUAAAGCGCGCGCAGGCGGUCCUUUAAGUCUGAUGUGAAAGCCCACGGCUCAACCGUGGAGGGUCAUUGGAAACUGGGGGACUUGAGUACAGAAGAGGAAAGCGGAAUUCCACGUGUAGCGGUGAAAUGCGUAGAGAUGUGGAGGAACACCAGUGGCGAAGGCGGCUUUCUGGGCAAUGACCGACGCUGAGGCGCGAAGGCGUGGGAAGCAAACAGG
rnacentral:rRNA from 1 species